GGGGAUGUGGCUCAAGCAGUAGUGCGCUCGCCUGGCAUGCGGGUUGCCUGGGUUCAAUCCUCAGCACCACA
rnacentral:tRNA from 1 species